ensembl:lncRNA
AUUCAAGAAAAAAAUAAAAUAUUUUUUUGAUCAACAUACUGUAUAUUUUGGGAUGAGCAAUAAAAAAAAAACUGGCAAACAAACUAAAAUCUUAAGGGAGAUUUUAGCCACCCUAGUAAUUUUGUGUAAACAAAAUAGCAUGCAACCACAAAACUUUCCAUGAUGAACACACUUUUACCACAGUAGUCUGAGACACGAUACAAUUUUUACCACUAACAGGAUGUGGACUAAAAGAUUAUCUAAUUUUCAUCUCAUCAGGCUCAUUUUCAGUUUGCGUAAUUAAAAACUUUUCAAGCCAUUUUACAUGUGUACAACAUCAUUAUAACUAUAUGUCACAUUUUAAUAAUCAACCUUUCUUCCUGUAGGUGAAAGCCUCUCUUGGAAUGAAUGUGAUCAGUUCCAUAACUGCAGUGAUUGCCAUUAUUCUGAUGAGCAUAGAGAUACUCAUUUCACCGCCCUACAGAAGACGUAUUCCGAACUUUAAUAUGUGGAUCACUGGAAUAUUGCUGGUGUUCUCCAUCCUUCAGUUUAUCAUCUCCAUUUUAAUCUCAGGAUUUGCCUGCAAAGCCACCUGCAACACUGACUCUACAGUGGUCAAUGUGGCACUUAACCAGGGAUUUCCAUAGUCACAAAGAAGAGAUCCUAAUGUCCAAAAGUUGCAAGGAACUAAUGACUCAUAUUGUUGCUUCUGAAAACUCAAGCCAGUUUUUUUUUUAUCCUCAUCAUCAUCAUCAUAAUUAUUCUAUUCUAAUCUAUUAUUCAUUUGGGAGUCACAGUCAUGUUAUUUGUGGUCAAAACAGACUAGAAACCAUUUAGCGUUUUUCUUCUUUAUUCUUUGGUAUUUUGAAGGGAUUUCAUGUUAAGUUACUAAACAAUAUUCACAAUUUAGAUUUUGUUUUCAAUUCAUCUGGGCCUACUGGUUAGAGAUUAGAACUUGUAAUCCUAAGGUUGCGAGUUCAAGUCUCAGGCCGGCAGGAAUUAUAGGUGGGGGGAGUGAAUGUACAGUGAGUGAAUGUACAGUGCUCUCUCCACUCUCAAUACCACGACUGAGGUGCCCUUGAGAAAGGCACUGAACCCCCAACUGCUCCCGGGUGCCGCAGAAUAAAUUGCUUCCCAAUGCUCCGGGCUCUAUAUACAAAAAUCUGGGCUGCGUAUUCCCUAGUUACUGAGAACAGUGUUAUCAGACAUAACUAUUUAUUUUUAUAAGAGUUAGGGUUCUCCAGGUCCUCAAUAAAAACUGAGUUCUACCUAGACCUCAAUGCAGAGAAUUAUCAGUUACAUCAGUCCAAAAUCCUGUUUCUCAUCUUCAACAUCAGUCAACAUGGCAUCUUCAUGUACAAGAGGAAGGUGGAUCCCAUCCACAACUGGCCAACUCCCACCACUGUGAAAGAACUCCAGUUCUUCCUAAGAUUUGCUAACUUUGAUCGCUGUUUCAUCUUCAGUCCACUAACCUCCCUGUUCCCUGGAAAGCCCAAGUCUCAGUCCUGGUCUUCUGCUGCCACUGAGGCCUUUGAGAAGCUGAAGCAGGCCUUUAUCACAACACCGCUUAGUCCGUCCUGACCCCCAAGCAUUGGAGCGGUGCUCUCUCUCUUUAUUCAGUUUAAUUCCCAAAUCUCACGUAAUCCAGGUUUCAAAUAUUGCAGGUUUCUCUGGGCCAGAGGUCAUCUCAGAUAGUUAAAAAGACAAUGGAAAUGUGUGCAGUGGUCACAUGAGUCCACAUUUCAA